UUUUUUUUUUUCAUUUUUGUUUCUCCCAAAGAAAUAUCAAUAAUGAAAAUGCAAAAUCACCAAAAUUUAUUGAUAAAAUUUUCAUUAUUAUUAAUAAUAAUAUUGCAUCAUGAAUCAUAUGCUAUGCAACAUUUAGUUGGAGAUUCAAUUUGGACUAUUCCUCCUACAAAUAAUUUCUACACAAAUUGGUCUUCUUCCCAAGUUUUCUUCCCUGGAGACACUCUUUAUUUUCAGUUUGAUCCAGAAUUUUAUAAUGUAAUGCAAGUAUCAAGAAGAGAAUAUGGUUAUUGCACAUCAAAUCAAGCUUAUAAGGUAUUUAAUGAUGGUCCAUUAAAUAUUACAUUGAUAGAGUCUGGGGUAUUUUAUUACAUGUGUAACAUCUUAAAUUAUUGUGAAUUAGGCCAAAAAUUUAGUGUUACUGUCCUUCAAAAUUCAUCCAAUAACUAUGUCCCACCGCCCUCGACUUCUUCGUGA